AGAAGGAGGUGCGUUCUGCGCCUGCGUUCUCCGCUCCGGACAGAGGUCGUGAAGCGCAUGUGUGAGGGGCGUGGAGAAAACGGGUUCGGGUUUAACUGUAGCGUUUAUUGGAUGCUCCAGUGCACGCGAAUUUGCGGGCGAGUGCCGGGGGCGCGAGCUCGCGCGCUCACUGGCAGGCGCGUGGGCGUUGUCCCCGGAGGCCGCGACUUGCUGCGGUCGCCAUCUUGUCCUGAGGCGUUGUUUCGGGGACCUUUGUUCUCCAUCGCUGUUUGUUCGCCGCUUGAAAUGUGCACACCUGAAUGUGCGCGGUCUCACACAAAUUUGGGCAGCGCAUUGCUUCGGUCGGGUUAGGUUCCUAAGCUCUAGGGCAGCAUCGGAUUCACGAAGCUUCGAGUCACUUUUAAGGCUGCCUUGGGAACGAUGAGGGGAGAACUACAUGAGCUCUUAUUGCCCGGUUUGCAAGGCCAGGGGCGCCUCUUUUUCAAACCUUGCGCUUGCCAGAUGUUGAUUAUAAUGUGACGAUUUUUUUUUUUUUCAAAGACAAGGUUUCCGACGGGGUAUGAAUGGCGGGCGCCGGCUGUCACAGAACUAGAUUUAUAGACCAGGCUGGCCUUGAUCCCACCAGUGUACUUCUAGAACGCUGGAAUUAAAGGCCUGCGCCACCCCACCCAACCCCAGGGUUUUACUAGCCUUAGUUGUCCUCACACUCAAGGCUCUACUGCCGGACCCUUUCAAAUGUCUGAAUUACAGAUGGGAGGUACUGAGAGACUUUUAGGGACAAAACCUUGGAACAAAUGUUGUGUCAGGAUUUUCUCGACGGUUGUAAAAACAGGGAUUCAAAGACAGUGAAGUAGAACUUGGUUUUGGAGGUAGCAGUUUGAUAGCAAGAGAAAAUAGUUGGGUAGGAAGUGCUCAUACAGGCUUGUAAUUCCACCGGUCAUCUUUGACCCCAUCAUUCGUUCCAGGCCAACAAGAGCUACAUGAAACUAUCUCAAAAAGAAGUAAUGGUGGUCAUCACUGUAACAAGUUAUGAAGAACGUGUGGGGAAAUUAGGAGAUAAAAUACAGUUAUAUUAUAAAAGAAAGUAGAAGGGAAUGGAAGGUAGCUGGGAAUGGUGCUGUCAGCCUCCAGCACUUGGGUGAGGUUGAACCAGAAAUGCAAGGUCACCUUUGGUGAUAAAAUGAAUUGGGAACCAGCUCGAUGACACUAAGAGUCUGUGAACCUCUUUUUUAACAAGUUAAUAAAAUUAAGUUAAACAGGACAGACAUUGCAUUUCAAUUAGUGAUAGAUAAUGCAUUAAAAGAAAAAGGGGCCUGGUGAUAAAUGCUUGUGAUCUAUCAAAGAUGUGUGGAGGGUCUGAUUUUAACACAGCUACACAGUAAGCCUCUGUCUCAAAAAGUAAAAGGACUAGAAUCAUAUUUCAGUUGGGAGUGUGCUAGCCUAGAAUGUGCUAGGUCAGAGUUCCAUCCUCAUCAUCCCAUCAAUCAGGUUUAGUGGCACACUUCAUCCCAGCUCUCAGGAUACUGAGGCAGGAGGAGCAUUAUUAGUUCUAGACCAGCCUGGGCUAUAUUACCAGUACCAGACUACAUUGGAGACAGUCUCAAAAGGAAUCUCUCACCUCUCUUCAUUAAAUUACACUUGCCAUUACAUUCUAGUAUUACUAGUAGAUCUAGAAUUUUAAGAAAUUACAUCACCAAGGCCAAAGCUAGAUUGUUGAUCCCCUGAAAACAGAGAUACUCUGCCAUAAUUUCCUGAUGAAAGAAUAUGGAGAGGAAUGACAGAUACUAAACACUAAAACAAAACAAAAGGUGAAACCGUUGCACCUUACAUUGAAUUUGACAAGAAGUAAGUAAGGCAGGUGAAGAUAAUUGAAGCCAGUGUAUUCUUGGAAAUUUGGUGUGGUAUCAUUUGUCUCUGAGACUGAAGCAGGAGUUCAAGGACAGCCUGGGCUACAUAGCAAAAUCUUAUUUAUUGGGCUGGAGAGAUGGCUCAGCAGUUAAGAGCACCAACUGCCCUUCCAGAGGUCCUGAGUUCAAUUCCCAGGAACCAAAUAGUGGCCCACAACUAUCUGUAAUGGGUCUCCUGCUUAUCUGAAGACAGUGACAGUGGACUCACAUACAUGAAAUAAAAUAAAUAUGACUGGAGUGAGCAGGGCCAGG
rnacentral:lncRNA from 1 species